UACGUAGGGUGCGAGCGUUGUCCGGAAUUACUGGGCGUAAAGAGCUCGUAGGUGGUUUGUCGCGUUGUCCGUGAAAACUCACAACUCAAUUGUGGGCGUGCGGGCGAUACGGGCAGACUGGAGUACUGCAGGGGAGACUGGAAUUCCUGGUGUAGCGGUGGAAUGCGCAGAUAUCAGGAGGAACACCAAUGGCGAAGGCAGAUCUCUGGGCCGUAACUGACGCUGAGGAGCGAAAGCAUGGGGAGCGAACAGG
rnacentral:rRNA from 1 species